AGUGAACGCUGGCGGUAGGCCUAACACAUGCAAGUCGAACGGCAGCACAGUAAGAGCUUGCUCUUACGGGUGGCGAGUGGCGGACGGGUGAGGAAUACAUCGGAAUCUACUUUUUCGUGGGGGAUAACGUAGGGAAACUUACGCUAAUACCGCAUACGACCUACGGGUGAAAGCAGGGGAUCUUCGGACCUUGCGCGGUUGAAUGAGCCGAUGUCGGAUUAGCUAGUUGGCGGGGUAAAGGCCAACCAAGGCGACGAUCCGUAGCUGGUCUGAGAGGAUGAUCAGCCACACUGGAACUGAGACACGGUCCAGACUACUACGGGAGGCAGCAGUGGGGAAUAUUGGACAAUGGGCGCAAGCCUGAUCCAGCCAUACCGCGUGGGUGAAGAAGGCCUUCGGGUUGUAAAGCCCUUUUGUUGGGAAAGAAAAGCAGCAGGUUAAUACCCCGCUGUUCUGACGGUACCCAAAGAAUAAGCACCGGCUAACUUCGUG
rnacentral:rRNA from 1 species